rnacentral:rRNA from 1 species
AACGAACGCUGGCGGCAUGCCUAACACAUGCAAGUCGAACGAGACCUUCGGGUCUAGUGGCGCACGGGUGCGUAACGCGUGGGAACCUGCCCUUAGGUUCGGAAUAACUCCCCGAAAGGGGUGCUAAUACCGGAUAAUGUCUUCGGACCAAAGAUUUAUCGCCUUUGGAUGGGCCCGCGUUGGAUUAGCUAGUUGGUAGGGUAAAAGCCUACCAAGGCGACGAUCCAUAGCUGGUCUGAGAGGAUGAUCAGCCACACUGGGACUGAGGCACGGCCCAGACUCCUACGGGAGGCAGCAGUGGGGAAUAUUGGACAAUGGGCGAAAGCCUGAUCCAGCAAUGCCGCGUGAGUGAUGAAGGGCUUAGGGUUGUAAAGCUCUUUUACCCGGGAUGAUAAUGACAGUACCGGGAGAAUAAGCUCCGGCUAACUCCGUG